rnacentral:lncRNA from 1 species
GAGGGCUUCAGAAAACUAAUUUGAUGAAGUUCUGAAGAUAGAACCAAGAAACUUUAGCCUGGACAAAAUUUUAACUCCUUAAAAAAUGGAACAUAUGAUUUGUUUAGAAAAUUACAAACUUUCCUCCUUCAGAAACUGCCUGAAUGGAAAAGUACUUGCACAGUCCAGAGUUCCUUGGUUAUGUUUGCUAUUCAGACCCCAGAAGGCAUGGAUGAAUUUCUAAAUCCUGCUGAAGUCACUGGAGAUACCUUACAUGGCACAAGAUUAGCUUUUUGGGGACAGAUAUUGUCAUUCAUUGUAUGUUUUACAGUCUGAAGCACAAAAAAACUCUCUUCUCAGUAAACACUUAAGCAUUACUGUAGGAAAAAAAAAAAAAGAAAAAAAGAAUAAUAAUAAUAAUAAAAAAAGAAAACAGCAAACA